rnacentral:rRNA from 1 species
AUUGAACGCUGGCGGCAGGCCUAACACAUGCAAGUCGAGCGGAUGAGGGAGCUUGCUCCUGGAUUCAGCGGCGGACGGGUGAGUAAUGCCUAGGAAUCUGCCUGGUAGUGGGGGAUAACGUCCGGAAACGGGCGCUAAUAACGCAUAGGUCCUGAGGGAGAAAGGGGGGGAUCUUCGGACCUCACGCUAUCAGAUGAGCCUAGGUCGGAUUAGCUAGUUGGUGGGGUAAAGGCCUACCAAGGCGACGAUCCGUAACUGGUCUGAGAGGAUGAUCAGUCACACUGGAACUGAGACACGGUCCAGACUCCUACGGGAGGCAGCAGUGGGGAAUAUUGGACAAUGGGCGAAAGCCUGAUCCAGCCAUGCCGCGUGUGUGAAGAAGGUCUUCGGAUUGUAAAGCACUUUAAGUUGGGAGGAAGGGCAGUAAGUUAAUACCUUGCUGUCUUGACGUUACCAACAGAAUAAGCACCGGCUAACUUCGUG